ACUCCUACGGGAGGCAGCAGUAGGGAAUCUUCCGCAAUGGACGAAAGUCUGACGGAGCAACGCCGCGUGAGUGAUGAAGGUUUUCGGAUCGUAAAGCUCUGUUGUUAGGGAAGAACAAGUGCCGUUCAAAUAGGGCGGCACCUUGACGGUACCUAACCAGAAAGCCACGGCUAACUACGUGCCAGCAGCCGCGGUAAU
rnacentral:rRNA from 1 species